GUAUAUUUAAGAUAUGUGAUUUAUCAACUCACAAAACCUGCAAUACGCUACGACUUACUAGAGGAGUAACACUUUACUCAAACAGACUGGCGUUCAGAAAUACGUACCACCAAAAUGUCUAAUUCUUCUUUUUCGAAUCUAACUUUGGCUACAUCUUUCAACAUUGUCAGAAAUUUCCCUCCGAACAUUUAUAGAUAGCAAACAACCGAUCGUGAAAUGUGGAGAGCCGAAUGUGUGCUUGUAGAUUAUAAUUUGGCAGAGUGCACAUGAACAAAAGAGCAGAGGAUGACCGAUCGGGCAAAUCGCUGGAUGAAAAAAAUGCGUAUGAAAUGUAUACGAGAAGACGCUGUCGAAGGCGCUGGAGAUCGGAGUACUAAGGAAUAUGUUUAUUUUAGUUGAUUUUUGUAUUGCAUUAGCGUUGUUUUUAUGAGUACAUGAGCACAAUUAUACUACAAAAAGACAAUGCUGGGGGCAUACUCU
rnacentral:lncRNA from 1 species